UCCCCAGGUGUUCCCAUUCCCUGUCCAGGACUCAACACAGACCACUCACCAUGGAGUUUGGGCUCAGCUGGGUUUUCUUUGUUGCUAUUUUAAGAGGUGUCCAGUGUGAGGUGCAGCUGAUGGAGUCUGGGAGAGGCUUGGUGCAGCCUGGGGGGUCUCUGAGGCUCUCCUGUGCAGCCUCUGGAUUCACUUUCAGUAGCAACGGCAUGAACUGGGUCCGCCAGGCUCCAGGGAAGGGGCUGGAGUGGGUGGCAGUUAUAUGGAAUGAUGGAAGUCAGAAAUACUAUGCAGACUCUGUGAAGGGACGAUUCACCAUCUCCAGAGACAACGCCAAGAACACGCUGUAUCUUCAAAUGAGCAAUCUGAGAGCUGAGGACAUGGCCAUAUAUUACUGUGCAAGAUACACAGUGAAGAGAAGUCAGUGUGAGCCCAGACACAAACGUCCCG